GACGAACGCUGGCGGCGUGCUUAACACAUGCAAGUCGAACGGAAAGGCCCGGCUUUUGUGGGGUGCUCGAGUGGCGAACGGGGGAGUAACACGUGAGUAACCUGCCCUUGACUUUGGGAUAACUUCAGGGAAAUGGGGAGAAUACCGGAGAGGAGCUUCUGCUGCAUGGUGGGGGUUGGAAAGUUUCGGCGGUUGGGGAUGGACUCGCGGCUUAUGAGCUUGUUGGUGGGGUAGGGGCGUACAAAGGCUUUGACGGGUAGCCGGCCUGGGAGGUUGACCGGCCACCUUGGUCCUGAGAUACGGCCCAGACUCCUACGGGAGGCAGUAGUGGGGAAUCUUGCACAGUGGGCGGAAGCCUGAUGCAGCAACGCCGCGUGCGUGAUGACGGCCUUCUGGUUGUAAACCGCUUUCGCCUGUGACGAAGCGUGAGUGACGGUAAUGGGUAAAGAAGCACCGGCUAACUACGUG
rnacentral:rRNA from 1 species